GUGCCACGAGCUGGCGAUUUGCCAGUACGCUGCUAAUAAGGAUCGGCUAACUCCGUGCCAGCGGCCGCGGUAAUACGGAGGAUCCGGGCGUUAUCCGGAUUUAUUGGGUUUAAAGGGAGCGCAGGCGGGAAUUUAGGUCGGCGGUGAAAUUUCUGGGUUCAACCUCGACAGUGCCGUUGAACCCGUUUCUCUGGAGUGCGGAUGAGGUAGGCGGAAUUUGUGGAGUAGCGGUGAAAUGCGUAGAUAUCACAAGGAACACCGAUUGCGAAGGCAGCUUACUAAACCGUUACUGACGCUCAUGCACAAAGGCUUGGGGAUCAAACAGGAUUAGAUACCCUGGUAGUCCACGCGGUAAACGAUGAUUACUUGCUGUUUGCGAUACACUGUAAGCGGCGUAGCAAAAGCGUUAAGUAAUCCACCUGGGGAGUACAUCCGCAAGAAUG
rnacentral:rRNA from 1 species